GCAGGUGUAGCUCAAUGGUAGAGUUCCGGCCUUCCAAGCCGGCCGCGUGGGUCCGAUUCCCAUCACCUGCUCCA
rnacentral:tRNA from 1 species